rnacentral:rRNA from 1 species
GAUGAACGCUGGCGGCGUGCUUAACACAUGCAAGUCGAACGGGAAACCUAUUAUUGAAACUUCGGUCGAUUUAAUUUGUUUCUAGUGGCGGACGGGUGAGUAACGCGUGGGUAACCUGCCCUAUACAGGGGGAUAACAACCAGAAAUGGUUGCUAAUACCGCAUAAGCGCACGGGACCGCAUGGUCCAGUGCGAAAAACUCCGGUGGUAUAGGAUGGACCCGCGUUGGAUUAGCUAGUUGGUGGGGUAACGGCCCACCAAGGCAACGAUCCAUAGCCGGCCUGAGAGGGUGAACGGCCACAUUGGGACUGAGACACGGCCCAGACUCCUACGGGAGGCAGCAGUGGGGAAUAUUGCACAAUGGGGGAAACCCUGAUGCAGCGACGCCGCGUGAAGGAAGAAGUAUCUCGGUAUGUAAACUUCUAUCAGCAGGGAAGAUAGUGACGGUACCUGACUAAGAAGCCCCGGCUAACUACGUGCCAGCCGCCGCCGUAAGAC